rnacentral:rRNA from 1 species
CUGCGGCAGGCCUAAUACAUGCAAGUCGAGGGGUAUGAUUUUGAGUUUACUUGAAAUCAGAGACCGGCGCACGGGUGCGUAACACGUAUGCAACCUACCCUUUACAGGGGGAUAGCUCAGAGAAAUCUGAAUUAAUACCCCAUAGUUACAUUUUGCUGCAUGGUAAGAUGUAUAAAGCUCCGGCGGUAAAGGAUGGGCAUGCGUUACAUUAGCUAGUUGGUGAGGUAAUGGCUCACCAAGGCUACGAUGUAUAGGGGUUCUGAGAGGAUGAUCCCCCACACUGGUACUAAGACACGGACCAGACUCCUACGGGAGGCAGCAGUAGGGAAUAUUGGACAAUGGACGCAAGUCUGAUCCAGCCAUGCCGCGUGCAGGAUGACAGCCCUCUGGGUUGUAAACUGCUUUUAUAUGAGAAGAAACCCUCAGAUGCGUUUGAGGCUGACGGUAUCAUAUGAAUAAGGAUCGGCUACUUCGUGCCAGCAGCCGCGGUAAGA